rnacentral:rRNA from 1 species
AGCGAACGCUGGCGGCAGGCUUAACACAUGCAAGUCGAGCGGGCGUAGCAAUACGUCAGCGGCAGACGGGUGAGUAACGCGUGGGAACGUACCUUUUGGUUCGGAACAACACAGGGAACGUUAGUGCUAAUACCGGAUAAGCCCUUACCGGGGUAAAGGAAUUUAUUCGCCGAAACGAAUCGGCCCGCCGUCUGAUUAGUCUAGUUGGUUGGAGG